rnacentral:tRNA from 1 species
UAGCAGCUAGUUUAACUAAAUAACUAAUUUCGGCUUAGUCGUUCCGGGUUUUAGCCCCGGGUUGCUCA